UGGGGUGAGGCUCAGUGGUAGAGCACUAGCUUAAUGAGCAGGAGACCCUGGGUUUGAUUCUCAGCACCAUAA
rfam:Ictidomys tridecemlineatus contig000031, whole genome shotgun sequence.